rnacentral:siRNA from 1 species
AGAUAACUCGUAACGUGCAGAGC